UACGUAGGGGGCAAGCGUUGUCCGGAUUUAUUGGGCGUAAAGAGCGUGUAGGCGGCCAGACAGGUCCGUUGUGAAAACUCGAGGCUCAACCUCGAGACGCCGGCGGAAACCAUCUGGCUAGAGUCCGGAAGAGGAGAGUGGAAUUCCCGGUGUAGCGGUGAAAUGCGCAGAUAUCGGGAAGAACACCCGUGGCGAAGGCGGCUCUCUGGGACGGUACUGACGCUGAGACGCGAAAGCGUGGGGAGCGAACAGG
rnacentral:rRNA from 1 species